UCUCCUUCUGGAGAAGGUUAUCAUGGCGGACGGGUGAGUAGCGCGUAAAGAACUUGCCUCUUGGUCUGGGAUAACAGUUGGAAACGACUGAUAAGACUAGAUAUUAUAAUUUACUCGCAUGAGUGGGUUAUGAAAAGCUAUGCCAAGAGAGAGCUUUGCGUCCUAUUAGCUAGUUGGUGAGGUAAAGGCUCACCAAGGCGAUGAUAGGUAGCCGGCCUGAGAGGGUGAACGGCCACAAGGGGACUGAGAUACGGCCCUUACUCUUACGGGAGGCAGCAGUGGGGAAUAUUGGACAAUGGAGGCAACUCUGAUCCAGCAAUUCUGUGUGCACGAUGACGGUCUUCGGAUUGUAAAGUGCUUUCAGUUGGGAAGAAACGAUGACGGUACCAACAGAAGAAGCGACGGCUAAAUACGUGCCAGCAGCCGCGGUAAUACGUAUGUCGCGAGCGUUAUCCGGAAUUAUUGGGCAUAAAGGGCAUCUAGGCGGUUUAGCAAGUCAGAGGUGAAAACUUACGGCUCAACCGUGAGCUUGCCUUUGAAACUGUUAAACUAGAGUGUUGGAGAGGUGGGCGGAACUACUCGAGUAGAGGUGAAAUUCGUAGAUAUGUGUAGGAAUGCCGAUGAUGAAGAUAGCUCACUGGACGACAACUGA
rnacentral:rRNA from 1 species